rnacentral:rRNA from 1 species
CACGUAGGGUGCGAGCGUUGUCCGGAAUUAUUGGGCGUAAAGAGCUCGUAGGCGGUGUGUCGCGUCGGCCGUGAAAACCUGGGGCUUAACUCUGGGCUUGCGGUCGAUACGGGCAUCACUGGAGUUCGGCAGGGGAGACUGGAAUUCCUGGUGUAGCGGUGAAAUGCGCAGAUAUCAGGAGGAACACCGGUGGCGAAGGCGGGACUCUGGGCCGAUACUGACGCUGAGGAGCGAAAGCGUGGGGAGCAAACAGG